rnacentral:rRNA from 1 species
UACGUAGGGUGCGAGCGUUGUCCGGAAUUAUUGGGCGUAAAGAGCUCGUAGGCGGUUUGUUGCGUCUAUCGUGAAAACCUGCAGCUUAACUGUGGGCUUGCGGUGGAUACGGGCAGACUUGAGUUCGGUAGGGGGAGACUGGAAUUCCUGGUGUAGCGGUGAAAUGCGCAGAUAUCGGGAGGAACACCGGUGGCGAAGGCGGUUCUGCUGGGCCUUACCU